rnacentral:ribozyme from 13 species
AACAGAAAAAGUAGAGAAUAACUUCAUUACUUUCUCUCUGUCUUCUUUUUCAAAUCUUUCUUCCUCUUCUUCUUCUCCUUCUCCCUCUUCUAAC